AUUUGACUCUUUAAACGCCAACUUGAGCUCAGAAAACAAAAUUGAUGUUGAAAAUGCAUCUGAGCUUAAUGAGGACGACAACAUGAGUGAAAUUUCUGUAGAGGACACGGUUGACUGCUCAGAAUUUGUAAAAAGCGAACCUGAAAACCACAAGAAUCUAAUUUCUGAAAAUUCAGUGGAGUUCGCUCGAUUGUCCCAACAAAAGUCCCCGAUCUUAGUAGAGAAAGCGGUUGUAUAUCAAAAGGUCCAGACUACUCCAAAUCAAGUGUACAAGGUCACUGGAGUAACUGAACAUCAGACCGCUGAACUCACAGCUAUUGUAAAUGAAGACAAUGCUGAUGGAUGUGAUGAGUUCUUCUGGUCAGCUCCAAUCGAUAAUGCAGAUGAAACCAUAGGCUUAUCAGAAAGAACCUCAUGGAUGAGUAAAGAUAGAUAUAUACCAGAACCUCUGAACAAGCCGGAUAAUUUCGAUGUGCCAAGUACUAGUGGUACGAAAGACAUUCCUCAAGAGAAUGGAAGUUCUGUAAAAGAAGACAUUCCUUCUAGUUCCUCAGUUCAAAGUGAAACUCCCAAAACUCAAAGUGAACCAGCUAAGGAGAAACCGAAAAUGAAAGCCAAUAUCCAUCAUCAACCGAAGCAGAUGAGGAAUCUGAAACGUGAAAGGAACCAGAGAUACAGGAAGAAUCUCUCUGAAAGGAAACAAUUCUGGCAAUCCCAGAAUGCAUAUUUCUCACAUCAAGACAAGAAUCUAAAGUUUGAGAACAAUCCUGUCAAAAAGCAUGAGAGUCACAACAACCGAAAGCCAAGGUUCGGUUCAGAAGAAAAUACCAACCGAAAGCAAAGGUUCGGUUCAGAAGAAAAUACCAACCGAAAGCAAAGGUUCGGUUCUGAGAAUGACUCCAACCGAAAGCAUAGGUUCGGUUCACAGAACGAAUUCAACCGAAAGCAAAGGUUCGGUUCUGAAGUCAAAAGAUAUCAAAACUCUAAGGUCAGUCCCACCAAUGAUCAAAAGCAAAAGGGUCACCUAGAGUCUCCAGCCAAGAAGUCAUCUCAAUCUAAGCCCACUCCUUCUCAUUCAUCUACUUCUUCUAAUUCUUCCAAUUCAUCUCCAUCUAGCUUUAAAGCUCAUUCUGUUAGUUCUCAAAAAUCUCAUUCGACAGCUGAACAAAAAAGGCAAACAGAAGGUUGAUGCAUCCAAACCAGAGUCUAAACCAAACGCACCUAAUCCUAACAAAAUCAAAGUUUUUACCAUUAAAAAGAAAGAUGAAACAACACUUAUAAAACGAACAUAUCUUGUUGACAUCUCUCUUACUAUUCUUGUUCCCAUGAAAGGCUCACGAGGACCCAAGAAACUUUGGGUUCCUAAAUCUGCUUAACUUUUGCAGGUUAUAAGUGACGAGCAGUUCGACGAAGAAUGGUACAUCGACAUUGGCUGCUCGCGUCACAUGACAGGGAGGAAAGAAGAGCUCAGGGAAUACAGAUCUCUUUCAAAUGGUGGCAACGUCAAGUUUGGAAACAAUUCUUUCGGCACCAUAAAGGGAUACGGAAUGAUAACUAAUGGUGAUUUUACUAUAAGGAAGGUGGCUUAUGUGGAAGGACUACAACACAACCUCAUCAGUGUAUCUCAGCUUGUUGGAGGUACAGGUCUCAAAGUCUCAUUCGACGAUGAAGGUUCUGAAAUUAUUGAGAAGAAGACAAAGAAAGUAAUUCUCAAGUCGGAGCGUAAGGGUGAAAUGUUUCCUCUAAACCUUAAACCCAUCAAAGGAAACCCAGCUAUAUGCUUGUUAUCAAAAGCUCAAUCUGACGAAAGCUGGUUGUGGCACCGAAGACUCUCUCAUCUCAACUUUAAAGAUAUCAACAAACUUGUCACUGGAGGUCAUGUUCGAGGCCUUCCAUUGCUCAAGUUCGACAGAGAUCAUUUGUGUGCUGCAUGCGAAAUGGGGAAGCAGAGUCGUCAAAGUCAUCCAUCUAUAAUUAACACAAAAGUUGUUGAACCACUCGAAUUACUUCAUAUUGAUUUGUGUGGUCCAUCAUCUAUCGAAAGCAUCGGUGGUAGCAAGUAUAUUCUUGUUAUUGUUGAUGACUUUUCACGAUUUACAUGGGUGUUCUUUCUAAAGCUCAAAUCUGAAGCGACUCAUAAGCUGAAAGUGUUCAUCAAGCAGAUUGAAGUACAGCUCAAGAAGGUCGUUCGCAACAUCAGAAGCGACAAUGGUCUGGAAUUCAAGAACAGGGAAUUUGAAGAAUUUCUAGCAGAAAAGGGAAUAAGUCACAACUUCUCAGCUCCCUACACACCUCAACAGAACGGAAUUGUCGAAAGACGAAACCGAUCUUUGUGUGAAGCUGCCCGAACUAUGCUAAGUUUCGCUUCCUUACCUCUUUAUUUUUGGGCUGAUGCAAUUUCUGCUGCUUGUUUUACACAGAACAGGUCUUAUCUCAACAAACGAUUCACGCUCACACCAUACGAGAUUCUCAACAACAGAAAGCCCAAUGUGAAAUUUUUCCAUGUGUUCGGCUCACGGUGUUUCAUCUUUAACUCUAAAGAACACCGCAACAAGUUCGAUGUCAAAGCCGACGAGGGAAUCUUUCUGGGUUACUCUCUCACUUCCAAAGCAUACAGAGUCCUAAACAAGCGUUCGAGAAAAAUCGAAGAGACCUAUUACGUGACUUUUGACGAUAGCUAUGUCAAAAAGCUACAGGCCAAAGAAGACACAGCUGGGGAAAUCUUUCCUCAAACUGGCCAAGUCACAGUCUCGAUCGCUAAUCUAUACGAGAAGUUUCUGGAGCUAUUUGACGAACCAGAGAAAGCUACUCUCUCAGAAGCAGGUGCAGCAGACAACAAGGUAGACCACAUGAAGCAAAUUGUCGAAGAAGCUGCCAGGAGAAUGAAUGAAGGAGGAUCGAAUUCUGAUGAACCUCCAUCCAACGAUGCUUCAGUCGAGGGGGAGCCAAGCUCACAUGUUGAGGGGGAGCCAAGCUCUACAACUGCUACCGAAAGUCCAACUGCAACCGAAAGUGCUUCUCCAACCGAAGGUGCAUCAACGCCUGAAAGUCCAGCACCACAAGAAACCUCUGAACCUCAAGUUUCUCAUAGCUCAUCAAUCGAGGGGGAGCAUGGUGAUAUGUCACUUGACUACGAAAGCCAAUCCGAGCCAGAAGAAAUGAUCAAUGCUGAACUAGACCCAACCUUUGAUCCAAAUUAUCCUCCUCUUACCAAAUGGACCAGAGAUCAUCCUAUCUCUCAAGUGGUUGGUGAUGUCUCUGAAAAGGUUCUGACCCGAUCACAACUGAAGGCAAAACAGACAUCCUUAUUUUCAAAGGUUGAGUUUUGUAUGUUUAACUCAUUCGUAUCAAAAGUUGAACCGAAGACAGUUAACACUGCUCUCGAUCACUCCGAUUGGGUUCAAGCAAUGCAAGACGAACUGAACGAAUUUGAAAGGAACAAAGUCUGGCGCCUCAUUCCAACUCCUCCAGAUGCCUCGGUUGUUGGUCUCAAAUGGGUCUUUAGGAAUAAAAUGGACAAGGAAGGGAAUGUUAUAAGGAACAAAGCUCGUCUGGUAGUAAAGGGAUAUUGUCAGGAGGAAGGGAUUGAUUAUGAAGAGACUUUCGCUCCUGUAGCUAGGCUGGAAUCUGUAAGAAUAUUUCUUGCUUAUGCUGCCCACAAAAACUUUGAAGUUUUCCAAAUGGACGUCAAGUGUGCAUUUCUUAAUGGAGAACUCGAAGAAACCGUGUAUGUGGAGCAACCUCCUGGGUUCGUGAACGAAAAAUAUCCAAAUCAUUGCUACAUUCUGGAUAAAGCUGUGUAUGGCCUCAAACAAGCUCCGAGAGCCUGGUAUGAAACGCUAACUAAAUUCUUAAAGAUGUCUAAAUUCAAACAAGGUUCGGUUGACCCAACCUUCUUUCGCAAAAAGGAAGGUAACCACCUUAUGAUAGUUCAAAUUUAUGUCGAUGACAUCAUCUUUGGCUCAACGAAUCCCAGCCUAACAGCUGAAUUCAGAAAGCUGAUGGAGACUAAAUUUGAAAUGAGCUCAAUGGGUCCUAUUAACUUUUUCCUUGGUUUAAAUAUUAGACAGGGACCCGAAGGCAUCUUUAUCAAUCAGGAAGCUUACACGAAGACUCUCCUAGCAAAGUUUGGUAUGAUGGGAGACUCCAAAGUCAAAGUCCCAAUGGCAUUCGGCACCAAGCUAACUCCAUCCCUAGACAAACCGGCUGUUGAUAUCACGCUCUAUCGUCAAAUGAUAGGCUCACUAAUGUAUCUUACUGCUAGCAGGCCUGACAUCAUGUUUUCUGUGUGUUAUUGUGCUCGAUUUCAGGCAAACCCACGCGAACCUCACAUGCUUGCAGUGAAGAACAUUUUACGCUAUCUCAAGCGAACCACCUCCUUAGGUCUAUGGUAUCCUUCCAACUCAGGCUUCUUCGUUCAAGCCUAUUCAGAUGCUGACCUUGGAGGAUGUGGACUCGACAGAAAAAGCACCACUGGUGGCUGUCAAUUCCUUGACGGGAAGUUGGUUAGCUGGCAAUCCAAGAAACAAACGUGCGUGUCGUUGUCUACUGCCGAAGCGGAAUACAUAGCCGCUGCAUCCUGCACCUCACAAGUGAUUUGGAUCCAGAGUCAACUUCGAGACUAUGGACUCAAUAUGAAGAAGAUCCCACUAUAUUGUGACUCUGAAAGUGCAAUUAGGAUCUGUCAUAACCCAGUGCAACACUCUAAAACCAAACACAUAGCACUGAGGUAUCACUUCAUCAAAGAUCACGUGGAAGAUGGAAACGUCGAAGUUCACUUCGUAAGAACCACUGAUCAACUGGCUGACGUCUUUACCAAAGCUCUUCCUGAAGCAUCAUUCAACAGAAUAUUGCAAGGGCUAGGUAUGAUGGAAUCAGAGUCAGUACCUCAAACUACCUCUCAACCUCAAACGUAAGAAGCGAAACUGACCGAACGUUCGGGUUCGGUUAAAUCAUCUGACUCGCUCAUCACCACAAAGGUAGUUUUCUUGGUUGUAUAUUUCUUGUACAAAGUUGUUUAUCUUAUUGUUAAAAGUAUUUUCUGAUUACAUGUCUAAAUUCCUUGGUUUUCUAAAAUUUUCCAAAACCGAAACCUACCGAAGGUUCGGGUUCGGUUUCUCAAAAUUUUCCAAAACCGAAACCUACCGAAGGUUCGGGUUCGGUUUCUCAAAAUUUUCCAAAACCGAAACCUACCGAAGGUUCGGGUUCGGUUUUUCAAAAUUUUCUUGAACCGAAACCAACCGAACGCUCGGGUUCGGUUUUUCAAAAUUUUCUUCAACCGAAACCAACCGAACGCUCGGGUUCGGUUUUUCAAAAUUUUCUUAAACCGAAACCAACCGAACGCUCGGGUUCGGUUUUUCAAACUUUUCCCAACUAACACCAACCGAACGUUCGGGUUUGGUUACCAAAUUUUUCAUAAGUUUUUUUUUAAGUCUAUUUUUUUCUUGCUUAAUUUUUUUUAAUUUUUUAUUUUAUCUAUUUCAAAAACUCCAAAAAUAAUUUUUUUUUCUUUUAAUUUUGUUUGUGUGAUUGUUCAUUAAUGGGGAUAUAAUUGGUGGAUUACUUAAGUGUCCCUAGAAGCAUACUGAUGUAUGUGUCUCAAGCCUCAUAAGAUUCUGAAUAACAGCCUUCAUGACCUGGUAUUAACAAACCUUGUCUUCCCAAUAAGGCUACUACGUUUAUUCUAAUCGUGAGCUACCUCACUCUCUUCUCACAUGAGUUAAGAGUUUUUCUGCUUGGUCCUUAUUUUCGCAGCAGAGGUACUUUAAUUUCUUACACCAUCUCCAUUACAUUUCUCCAUUACAUUCGUUUCAUCAACGUAACCCUUGAGACUCUCAGAAAUUACCACUGAGGUUUAUGGUUACACAACAACUGUGUUUAUGAUCUUAGUUUCGUGCCACUACGAGCUGAGUGAAACCCAAAAUUCAACACCAAAUCUGAAUUGACGGUGAACAAUUAAUUUGCUCAAGUUUUCACCAAAGAAUUGACGGAUGUACCUUCAUGAAAUCUCAAAUUUUAUUUUGUGUGAUUCCUAUGAAAUUGUUAAACACCAUAACAUUUCUUCCCUUGGGAUCCAGUUUUUAAUUUUUUUUGAGAUUUUAUAUUUUCCAAGCUAUUUAAAAUUAAUUCCUACCUACUUGUUCAACAGACUACACCGGUCUCACAAGUACUUUGUUCACUUUCUUUCUUAUUUCAAGAUUAGAAUUGCUGAAUCAAAGCGAAAGCCACCCUUACUUAGCCUAAUUAAAAGAAGCCUUUCAACAUUUAUUAAUAAAUGUUUGAUCGUAAUUCAACGGGAAUCCACAUAAACACUUUAAGGUCUCUCUUGAUCUUGAAGGAAGAGAUUCGUGCCCGGGAUCACUUGUUUCGUGUCUUUAUUGACAUCACAUUUAUUCCUUACAAGAGUUGCUUUAUUCCUUUUUUUUACACUCUUAGCACGAAAAUCUUUGAUUUUCCAAAAUUCCGUUACUAAUUAUUACAUGCUGUAUUAUUACUUUGGUGGUUAAUUAUGAAGCUGUGGUCACAAAUCAUCCACGUGGGCAAUUAAUUCAAAAGAUGCCUUUUCGAAGAUAAGACAAAGGGUUGCUGACUCAGGCGGGAGUUAAAAGGAUUGAAUUUCAAACGACGGUAAAAAAAAGGGGCGUGUGUGGAUUUGAAACGCCCAUACUUUUACUGACAUCAGGGACGCGUGUGCGAAUUUCAAGCGACAUCUCUCUGGCACUUAAAGGCGCGUGAGGAUUUGAAGCGGUUUUCUUCUGAAACGGCGCUUGUUGGGUGGCGUGAUCCUAGGAAUCUGACACUCUAUCUCCUAUGUGAUCAUCGCAUAGAAGAUUUGAAACGAUUUUUCACUCUCCAUUCCCUCACUAUAAAAGGCAGUCUACACUCUCAUUUACCUUUUUACUGCUUCCGGAUUUUCUAGAGAGCAAAAACUCCCAAAAGCUUCACUGUUCAUCUUCUUCUUCUACUACCUUCAACAAUGGCGGAAUCAUCCUCAGUCCAUGCUACCUCCCACAUCCUUCCUAUUCGUCCUCAACAAUGCCUGGUGAUCGAUCUCAACCCUCUGGCGUACGACUCCUACAUGUCGCCGAUCAUCGAGUGCCUGAAGUACUCCCAAAUCGCUCCGGCUCUCUCCAGGAUUGAGUCUGUGCCCAUGGCGACUCUCUCGCAGGUUUAUGCGACUGCCUAUUACGACAAAGCAGUCGAGCGGGUGUUCUUCGAGGUUGCUGAUCACAAGACCUCCAUUUCUCGACAACGUUUCUGCACACUGCUAGGGUUGGCUGCUGACCCAUCGAGAAUUAAUCCGGAGACGAUUCCGGUUGGGCAUCUGUAUAGCAUGUUUUACAAUAUGGGGUACACGGAGGUCCUCACCUCCGUCGCAAAGUUCAAGAAAUCUUGCUUGCCGCCACAGUGGAACGGCAUGUUCACAGUCCUCUUCAAGGGCUUAUCAGAACGGAGCUCAGGAUCCGAUGGCGCUAGUCGACUGUUCUUGUCGAUCAUGUAUGCAGUUUACAACGGGGUCAACUUAGAUUUUGGGUUGGUUCUCUGGCAACAGCUCAUCCAGAGCCUUUCUUCUUCAUCACGACAUUCUGAGGUGUCGUAUGCCCGGUUCUGGACUCUAAUCACAAAGUGGGCAAUGGACAAGUUUGAUAUUCCCACUGCUGCUGGUGCAUCGAUGUCUUCAAUCGGUACGUUUCAUACCAAGAAGAUCAUCGUCUCUGAUGCAUCUAAAUUCUCGUUCAUUGGCUCUAUUCCGGAGACAAUGUAUGGCGACGUUCCCUCUGACAGCAGGCUAAUCCGGACGAUCAAGGAGUUCAGGGCAACUGGACCUAGGGACCUUACACCGGAAAUGCUGAAGUCCAUCCACGAUGCUGACAAACCGGUGAACAGGGGCAAAAAGGCGGACAAAGGGAAGCAAGUGACCAAAGCUGCUAAAGGUCCUUCUCCCAGGAAGAGGAAACAAACGAAACCUGCCCAGUCACCGCAGCCGAAGAGAAGGAAGACUCAACCGAAGCGAAAACUUCUUAUCCCUUCCUCUUCGAGUGACUCAGAAAACGAGAGUUCGGGUUCGGACGGCUCUCAAGGAGGCGAAACCCCUCAAAGAGGCAACACACCACCCCGCUCACCUACCCCAGAGAUGGAACUUCAUAAUUCACCAGUUCCUUCACCUCCUCAAACCAUCCCUACUUCCAUUCCGACCAUAAUCCCCACUACCACUAUUCCUCCAACCUCUUUCCCUAUACCACCACCCAUUUUCACAGAUACCACCACAACCACUACAAAGGUUACAACCAACGUAUCUGAUACGGGGGUUCAUACCACUACAACCGAAACACCCCCCGUAACCGAACCACCUCAAACCGAAACCCAGCAUACAACCGAACCUACCCAUACUCAACCACCACCCGAAACUACCCCCACACCCACUCAACCUGAACCUACCAAAACCACCACACCCCCAGCUUCACCACCCCCACCAUCUCCAGAUCAUGCCUCUGAUGGAGAUAACCCGUUUCUUGGCGGUGAAAACGUGAACUUCGAUUCGGUCUAUUUUAGUCCGUUUCAGGUUCAAAGUGACGAAGAGGAUGAUGCUCCAGUGACAAAGAAACAUCUGAAGGAGCUAAACGAGAAGGUUGAUCUGCUUCUUGCGUCAUCCACAAAUGCUCAAUCAUCUCUCUCUAAAGCCGCUC
rnacentral:lncRNA from 1 species